UAGCAUGUGUAACCUUGAGUAUUUUCAUUUCUAACAACUGUGUGUGUGCGCAACCGCCAUUUCUCUAAUGGAAGCGAAGCGAUUUGGAGCCUAAAAUCGUAGAAUCCAUAGCAAAAGUUUCAUGCAGCCGAGGCCAAAAACGGCGGAUGUCGCCGUGCACAAUUGAUUGAUGAUCCGAUUAUUGUUUGAUUUUUCCUACUAUGCAGCGUCCAUUGGGAUUUCCAGUAAAAAUAGCCGUCUCGUUCUAAUGAUUCAUGCGUCAAUUAAAUCUAUCAUGAUCUCAAUCUCAAUGAGUGCUUGUUUGGAAUGCGACACCAGCCAUUUUAUCAUCACCGAGCUGAACAAAAACACAAUGUUGCAAAACUCCCACGAUACACACGAUUACAAAUGGUCACAAUAAACGUACGCAAGUGAAGUCGGUCACAUAA